CCUUUUGGCACAGUAGGUAGCACAUCAGUCUCACAAGCUGGAGGUCCUGAGUUCAAUACUCAGAAGGAGGG
rnacentral:tRNA from 1 species